GACGAACGCUGGCGGCGUGCCUAACACAUGCAAGUCGAACGGAGAUAUUAAUGAAGCUUGCGAUUUAAUAUCUUAGUGGCGGACGGGUGAGUAACGCGUGGGUAAUCUGCCCAUAAGUGGGGAACAACAGUUGGAAACGACUGCUAAUACCGCAUACCUUGAGCAAUCAAGAAAGGUGGCCUCUGAAUAUGCUGCCGCUUAUGGAUGAGCCCGCGUCUGAUUAGCUAGUUGGUGGGUAACGGCCUACCAAGGCUGCGAUCAGUAGCCGGCCUGAGAGGGUGAACGGCCACACUGGGACUGAGACACGGCCCAGACUCCUACGGGAGGCAG
rnacentral:rRNA from 1 species